rnacentral:tRNA from 1 species
AUUUUUCUAGUAUAAUUAGUACAUUUGACUUCCAAUCAAAAAGUUUGUUUGAAACAAGAUAAAUA